GACGAACGCUGGCGGCGUGCUUAACACAUGCAAGUCGAACGGUGACGGAGAGCUUGCUCUCCUGAUCAGUGGCGAACGGGUGAGUAACACGUGGGCAACCUGCCCAGACUUCGGGAUAACGCUUCGAAAGAGGUGCUAAUACCGGAUACGAGCUCCUUGGGCAUCCUUGGAGUUGGAAAGUUUUUCGGUCUGGGAUGGGCCCGCGGCCUAUCAGCUAGUUGGUGAGGUAACGGCUCACCAAGGCGACGACGGGUAGCCGGCCUGAGAGGGCGACCGGCCACACUGGGACUGAGACACGGCCCAGACUCCUACGGGAGGCAGCAGUGGGGAAUAUUGCGCAAUGGGCGAAAGCCUGACGCAGCAACGCCGCGUGAGGGAUGUAC
rnacentral:rRNA from 1 species